CCUACGGGAGGCUGCAGUGGGGAAUAUUGGGCAAUGGGCGCAAGCCUGACCCAGCAACGCCGCGUGAAGGAAGAAGGCUUUCUGGUUGUAAACUUCUUUUGACAGGGAAGAGCAGAAGACGGUACCUGUCGAAUAAGCAAUGGCUAACUACGUGCCAGCAGCCGCGGUCAUACGUAGGUGGCAAGUGUUGACCGGAAUUACUGGGUGUAAAGGGCGUGUAGCCGGGCUGACAAGUCAGAUGUGAAAUCCGGGGGGUCAACCCCCGAACGGCAUUUGAAACUGUUGAUCUUGAGUAACGGAGAGGCAGGCGGAAUUCCUGGUGUAGCGGUGAAAUGCGUAGAUAUUAGGAGGAACACCAGUGGCGAAGGCAGCCUGCUGGACGACGACUGACGGUGAGGCGCGAAAGCGUGGGGAGCGAACAGGAUUAGAUACCCUUGUAGUC
rnacentral:rRNA from 1 species